rnacentral:piRNA from 1 species
UUCAAGAUAACCUGGGGGAACAUCCACC